rnacentral:lncRNA from 1 species
UUAGUCUGCAUCUUGUGGUUCAUAUUCUAUCCCUCCUCCCCUCAAUAGCGUUGAGUCUCUUGCCCCAUGGCCGAUUGGUCGCCAUGUUUCGUUCCUGGGGAACGUAGCCUUGGACAACGUGGUGAGGUCCUUAUCUUUCGUUGCCUCCAGUUCAAGCAUCUUAAAUCUCUUUUUAAGAUCUGAUUGUAUACUUUGAUUCAUGGCUCAUUAUCGAGUUUUUUUCUGAUAGCAUGGGUUAUAUGCGAAUCGACUGAAUUUUCUUUGACGUUGUAAGUCGAUUUCGGGUAGAGGAAGAAGGUGACCCAUGGAUGUUGCAGUGCUAUGAGAGCUGUGACCUCGACGGCGAGGUCGAGCUAAGACCUCUCCGGAUACUGAGAGCAGCCUCGCAAGAGGGGAUGGGGUGUGGUGGCUCGCCCGCGAAAAAAGUGCGGACGGCUGCAAUAGAUCGACCGGUGGUGGUGGGCGGUUCAGAGGAGGAUGAAGAUUUAACGGCUGAACAAAUUGACUUGCACAAUUUGUUUUCCGGUCAUAGCCAGACCCAAAUUCAUGUAAGUUGUAUGUUUGGUUUGAUUCUUUGGUUCAUGGUUUGCAGCAAGUAAUUUUUAUCUAUGCAAUCUCUUGGCGUGGAGUGCCACCUAUGAAUCGUCUCUGUGACCUUACUACUCCCUCCGUUCCAAAUUACUACUCGUGGAGGGAGUACAUGUUUGGAUCGACUCUCAUCCAGUGUCUCCUGAUUAAACCGUUCCUUCACAAAAAAUCCCGAUCAGCGGAACAACAUCAUGCCCCCAAAAAGAUUCCUGCCCUCCCUACUUUCCUUCCACCCGGCCCGACGAACCAACACCCGGCCCGACGAACCAACACCCAGCCCGCCUACCUACACCCGAUGGACCUCACUGGAUCCAUCGUUUUCAGCCCAAUAACCCCCGAAACCCUAGACAUACCAGCUACUAUAUAAUCCCUCCCUCGAACGGCCGAGGGGCACCAGAUCCUUCCAUUCGAAGCGCCGCCGCCGCCAUUCCGCCGAGAUCCCCCGAGCCCUCGUCGCGGAGAUCACCUCGUAUCACCCGUUGUCGGUGUUCUCCUUCAACUUGCUCUCCCUUGAAGCCAGCCCGUCUUCCUUAACUCCCUAAUCUGACUAGAGUUGCUUGAUUUUGCAGCGAUAGCCAACAACCCCCCUCGUUUCUCCUUCCUGGUGAGCUUAGAAGGCCGCCUGGCCCUCUACACACCAGGCCACCCUACCGUCCUUGAGUUCAUCGAUGAUCCGCAGCUGGUCCAGGCCAUCGCCCAGAUGGACAACGAGGCGCUGGUGCCAAAUCCACUGGAGAACCUCGCUGCCUACCACGGCCCCUUGCCCCAGAUCCAGUAUCACGCUCCACUGCCACCGCUCCAGGUCCGGCAUCAAGGCCCCCUGCUCCCUCCUCCCCAGGUCCAGCAUCAAGCCCCCUCCUCGAAGACGACGACGACCCCAUCAGGGACGUCUCGAAGCUCUUCAAAGAAGGUAAUGUCGCCACCUGCCGUAAUCUGUGCUACGGCUGAUUUGUGCUCGGAACUGUGAUGGAUGUAGCUGUGUAGCCAUUUAUAACAGAUCUGUUGGCAUUAGUAUAUUUUAGGUGUGACUGGUUGUGGUUGAUCGUUUGAUUUCUGGAUGCUUGGAAAAAUGUUUGGUAGAUAUAUUUCUGGUUUUGAGCCUGUUCAUAUCACAUUCAGAAUUAUGCAUGCUUGGACGAUAAAUUGGGUGAUUUAUUUCUGUUUGUUUAUCUUUGAUGGUUACUCACCAAUUAAGAUCUGUAUUUAUUUGAGAAGAGUGAGUUGUGUUGUUUGGAUAAAUAUCUGGUAGAUAUGUUUUUUUGUUUUUGGUUGUGUUCAUAUAUCACAUUAAGCAGUAAAUUAAGGUUCUGGGUGACGUUUGGUACCAAUUAAUAUCUACUCCCUCUGUAAACUAAUAUAAGAGCAUUUAGAUCACUAUUUUAGUAUUCUAAACGCUCUUAUAUUAGUUUACAGAGGGAGUAUUUGUUUGAUGAAAAUCAUGUUAAUACAUCCAGGACUAAUUUAAAAAGGUUUCCUUACAGUUGAGUUUCAAAACAAUAUGUUACGUUUCACAGUUUGCUGUUCCUAAUUGUUUUGCUUUGUCUUCUGAGUUCUAUCACAUUCAGCAGUAAAUUAAGGUUCUGGAUGACGUUUGGUACCAAUUAAUAUCUAUCUGUUUGAGAAUCAUGUUAAUGCAUCCAGGACCAAUUUAAAAAGGUUUCCUUAUAGUUGAGUUUCAAAACAAUAUGUUAUGUUUCACAGUUUGCUGUUCCUAGUUGUUUUGCUUUGUCUUUUGAGUUCUAGUGUCAGCUUGAUUUUUGAAAUAAGAUCCCAGCGGUUCAUGCUGAAUAUACUAUGGAUGGCUUUUGGUCCUGUUUAAGAGAACAUGAACUUGUGGAUGCUUGGAUCAUAGACAUUCGUUUGACUUAUUUCUGGUUCUUGAGUUUUGUCGCAUCACAUUAAGCACUAAAUUAAGGUUCUGGGUGAUCGUUUGGCAUCACUUAUGUUCAUUUGUUUGGAAACACGCAGUUGUGGAUGCUUGAUAAUAAAAUUGGCUAGAUUUACUUCUGUUUUUUAAAGCUUGUUCAUAUCGUUGAGCAGCAAUUUUAAGUUAGUGGUUGAUCGUUUGGUCCCAAUUAAGAUUCAGUUUGUCUAGUUCACAUCUAGAUGUUUUUUAAGGAUGUCACAUCUAAGCUCCCAUAUAUAGCCAUCAGCUUGUUUUUUGCUGUAUGAUGGAUUGCUUUUGUCCUUUAUAUGUUGCUCUGUCCGAUCAAUGUAGCUAGCUCAAUCUCAUUGCUAUUUUGAUGUCUCUUGUUUUCCCCUAACAAAUUUCAUUUUUCUAAAUGUAGAUGAUGAUUCCCCGGCUCUUGACAUGACCGACCACGUCAAUGACUUGGCUGAAGCAGUGGGAGAUGGCAAGUGAAGCUGCCCCACCCCUUUCAAGUGAAGAUGACGUUUUGCCCGCCUGAAGCAAGAGAUUAUCUGUUCGGUCUAUCUUGAAUGUGAACGUUGUUUAUUCAGUACUACCUGUAGUUUAAGUUAUUUAUGUCUUUGGAGCAAAAUUUUGAAAUGGCUUUGAUCUGUGGAUAGAAAUGUUGACUCUUAUCCUUCUUCUGGUUUAGCUGUGGAUAUAAUGGGUGAAGUAACAUAUAUGCUUCAUGCAAAGUUCUGUCUGGUAGAACUUUUGACUUUUGAAAAAACUAUGUUGUCCGACUGCAGAUCUUUGAAUCGGCUUUGAGCUGAUGAUACAGAUGUUUCUAUCGUAUCUCUUAGACUUCAGUACCAAAAGUUUGCGUGGUAUGAUCCUUGAGUUUUUCUGUGAAUACGUCUGCUGAGAUUGUAAGUUUGUGGGAAAUCUUAGUCAUGUUGCCGUCCAUGAGCAUAACAAGUGACGUCCGCUGAGAUUGUAAGUAAAGUUUGCGUGGUAGUUCGUGGGCAAUCUUACCCUCCGAAUCUUAGUUUUGCCUCGUCUAUGGACUAAUUUAAAAAGAUUUGCCUCGUCGAAUACAAUUGCCAGGACCACAUGCGGACUUUCUACUCGCUAAGAUAAGAAAGAACCAAAAUCCCUCGCAC